GACGAACGCUGGCGGCGUGCUUAACACAUGCAAGUCGAGCGGUAAGGCCCUUUCGGGGUACGACGAGCGGCGAACGGGUGAGUAACACGUGGGUGACCUGCCCUCAGCUCUGGGAGUAAGCCCGGGAAACCGUAGGGUCGUAAUACCGGAUAUGACUCCAUGACGCAUGUUGUGGGGUGGAAAGACCUUGUGCGGCUGAGGAUGGGCCCGCGGCCUAUCAGCUUGUUGGUGGGGUGAUGGCCUACCAAGGCGACGACGGGUAGCCGGCCUGAGAGGGCGACCGGCCGACACUGGGACUGAGACACGGCCCAGACUCCUACGGGAGGCAGCAGUGGGGAAUCUUGCGCAAUGGGCGAAAGCCUGACGCAGCGACGCCGCGUGAGGGAUGACGGCCU
rnacentral:rRNA from 1 species